rnacentral:tRNA from 1 species
UCCGGCGUAGUCUAGUGGCUAGGAUAUCUGGCUUUCACCCAGGAGGGGCGGGUUCGAUUCCCGGCGCCGGAA